GCACAUGUGGCUCAGUGGUAGAGCAGGACCUCCAUAUGGAGAGGCUACAGUCCUCGACACAGUUGUCCAUGGUUCGAUUCCCAGCCCUGGGACA